rnacentral:rRNA from 1 species
UACGUAGGGUGCAAGCGUUAAUCGGAAUUACUGGGCGUAAAGCGUGCGCAGGCGGUUUUGUAAGUCUGUCGUGAAAUCCCCGGGCUCAACCUGGGAAUUGCGAUGGAGACUGCAAGGCUAGAAUCUGGCAGAGGGGGGUAGAAUUCCACGUGUAGCAGUGAAAUGCGUAGAGAUGUGGAGGAACACCGAUGGCGAAGGCAGCCCCCUGGGUCAAGAUUAACGCUCAUGCACGAAAGGCGUGGGGAGCAAACAGG